AGAACGAACGCUGGCGGCAUGCCUAAUACAUGCAAGUCGAACGAACACUUCGGUGUUAGUGGCGCACGGGUGCGUAACGCGUGGGAAUCUGCCCUUGGGUUCGGAAUAACAGUUGGAAACGACUGCUAAUACCGGAUGAUAUCGAAAGAUCAAAGAUUUAUCGCCCAGGGAUGAGCCCGCGUAGGAUUAGCUAGUUGGUGAGGUAAAGGCUCACCAAGGCGACGAUCCUUAGCUGGUCUGAGAGGAUGAUCAGCCACACUGGGACUGAGACACGGCCCAGACUCCUACGGGAGGCAGCAGGUAGGGAAUAGUUGGACAAGUGGGCGCAAGCCUGAUCCAGCAAUCGCCGCGUGAGUGAUAGAAGGUCCGUUAGGGUUGUAAAGCUUACGUUUUACCCGAGUA
rnacentral:rRNA from 1 species